CGGAUUGUGGCAGUGACCCUCAGGGAGGUGGAGCUUGUUCCUAGAGCCUUUGGCAGUGGCAGCGGCUGGGUGUAUGCGUUCCUGGGGGGUGGGGGUGAGGGCAGUGGGUGGCACUCAGUUGCAAUACCCUCUGCAGUGGUGACCCCUGAGGUGACUGGGGCCAUAGCUGGUGCCUGUUCAUGAGACCUUUAGUGGUGGCAGGCUGCACCCACUUAAGGAGUCUGAGAUUCCUGUGGCCGUUUGCACCUGCCCCCACCCCCAUAACCCAUGUAAAAGGCACCCUGCUGUCCAAGACCCUGUGCAUGUGCAGAGAAAGAUGUUCCUAUGUCGGUCCUGCCCCUCCUCCUCACUCCAUCCCCACCAGUGGCACCUUGCUUCUCCUGUGGCCCCAGGCCUCCUCCUACCUCUCUCAGCUAUGGGGCACUGCUCCCCAGCCCAUGGCACACUGCUCCCUAUCCCCUUCAGGCUGUUUCCACACAGCCAACCAUAGUCCUCUUCCUGGAAGUGACCUCUAUAGAUCAAGUCUCAGUGCCCAGUCCCCACCCAAGUGUCUUAGGCUGUGAUGUCCCAGACAGUCGUACCAGUGGUGUGGCUCACUCUCUGCUUUGCCUUCCUCUGAUUGUCUGUUACACUUUUCUCCGAGGUAUUGAGGAUCCUGCUCUGUCCUGGUUGAUCUCCCUGACAGUUAGGUGGUCUUUUAGGGUGAGGAUUCCUUUCCUCUUUCACAGCUCCCUUUUGGGAGUGCUGGUCCCACCCUGAUUCCUUUUUUCUCUUUUUUCUUUUUUAAAUUCUUUUUGUUCUACCCAAUUAUGAGGAGGGUUUCUUGCCCUUUUUUGGAGGUCUGAGGUCUUCUGCCAUCCUUCAGUAGAUGUUAAGUGUGAAUCAUUGUACAUGUAGAUGGUUGUGUGUUUUUUGGUUUUUUUUUUUGAUGUGUUUAUGGGAGAAGGUGAGCACUUCAUCUUACUUCUCUGCCGUCUUAAUCCCUUUCCUUUUUGAAUUAAUUUUUGCGAGUGGUGUAAGAUAGCAGUAUAAUUUAAUUCUUUUUCCAUGUGGACCUCAAUUUUUACAGCACCAUUUAUUGAGGAAGUGGUGUUUUCUCCCAUUGAGUAUUACUGGCUUUCUUGUCAGAUAUUAUCUGACUACAUAUGCUUGGGCUUAUUUCUAGGGCUUUUGAUUUUGUACCAUUGGUGCAUGUUAUCUGUUUUUUUGCUAGCACCAUACUGUUUGGAUUACUAUAGCUUUAUAAGGAUAGCUUAACAUCAGAAAGUAUGAUACUUCCCACUUCGCCCUUUUUUCUUGGGAAUACCUUGGCUAUUCAGAGUCUUUUGUGCUUGCAUAUACAUUUUAGGAUUUUUUUUUCACUUCCAUAAGAGAUACUGUUGGAAUCUUGAUAGGGAUUUCCUCAAAUCUACAGAUGGUUUUUUGAUAGUAUUGACAUUUUAACAAUAUUAGGGAGCUCCCGUCAUGUCUCAGCAGUAACAAACCUGACUAGGAUCCAUGAGGAUGCAGGUUCAAUCCCUGGCCUUGCUCAGUGGGUCAAGGAUCCAGCGUUGCUGUGAGCUGUGGUGUAGGUCACAGAUGCAGCUCAGAUCCUGCAUUGCUGUGGCGUAGGCCAGUAGCUACAGCUCCAAUUUGACUCCUGCCAAGACCAGUUCAGCAGGUGAGGGUUAAAGAAGAGGUGCUAUGGAACUUAAGAAAAAGUUAACAUGAAAUAAGACACAGAGACAUUUAUCUUGAUUAAAAGUGGGAACUGGGGGGGACUCAAGGUCUCAGGGACCAAGAGUGGCACCUCAAGAAACCACACUGCUUUUACUGUGCUCUUUAGGAUUUCAUCAAGUGAGGAGGGGGUUACAGGUGCAGGAUAUGGUUCUUUUUAUUAUUUUAAAAGUCACAUAGCUGGUAGAUGGUUUAGCUUUUAUUCUGACCUUGCCUAGGUUUGCACCUCAUUCUCCUUGCUGAUGCACAGUCUGCUAACGACUGCUUAUAAACCAUUGGGGGCCAUAGGUUCUUCUUUCUCUUAUUUUAACAGGACAUAUCAUGCUGUGCAAAUGGUGUGCCAGUCUGCACAGGUCCGGCAUGCCUAGACCAACACAUUAUGUCCCCAUUCAGCUGACCAUAUGAAUAACUUAUGCCUUCAGGCCUUUGUUCUUAAGCUUAAGUCAUUUGCCAGCACUUGGACUGUUUUUCAAGCAGGAAUAUAGGGUAAAGGUAAAGCAGGACAAGGUGGAGUUUUUAGUGUAGAAAAUAGAAACAGAGAGGCUAAGAAAAGAUUGUGGAAACCUGUCUCCUGACAGACCUCUAGCUUGGGAACUUCAGUAUGCUGUGGGUGUGCCCAUAAAAAGACAAAAAAAAGAAAUUACAAUAUUAAUUCUUCCAAUCCAUAAACACAAAGUGUCUUCUUUGAUUUCUUUCAUCAGCAUUUCAUAGUUUUCAAAGUAGAGAUUUGUUCACCUCCUUGGUUAAAUUUAAUCCUAAAUAUUCUGUUGUUUUUGAUGCUAUUGUAUAUUUAAUAAUUUUCCUUAUUUUUAGAGAUAGAAAUGCUACUACUGAUUUUUGAAUGUUUAAUUUUGAAUCCUACAACUUUACUGAAUUCAUUAAUUAGAUACAACUUUUUCUGUGGAGUCUUUAGGAUUUUCUAUAGAGAAAAUUUUACUUCUUCCUUUCCAUUUCUGAUGCCUUUUAUUUUUUUUUUCUUCCCUGAUUGCUCUGGCUAGAACUUUUAACAAUAAGUUGAAUAGGAGUGGAGAGAGUGGACAUCCUUGUCUUAUUCCUGAUCUUAGAGGAUAACCUUUAACCUUUCACCAUUGAGUAUGAUGUUAUCUGUAGGCUUGUCAUAUAUAGUUUUUAUUAUGUUGAGGAGUAUCUGUUUCUUUUAAGAGUUUUUAUUAUGAACAAUGUUGAAUAUUGUUAGAUGCCUUUCCUGCAUCUAUCAAGAUGGUCAUACAAGUUUUUUCUUUCAAUUAAUGUAUGUUAGUGAUUGGUUUGCAUGUGUUGAACUAUUCUUGAUACCAGUGGUAAAUCGCACUUGAUUAUGGUGAAUGAUCUUUUUAAUGUGCUGCUGAAUUUAGGUUUUGUUAAUUGAAAAAUUUUACACCUCUAUAUGCCAGGAAUAUUGGCCUAUAGUUUUCCGUUCUUAUAGUCCUUUUUAAAUUUUGUUAUCAGGGUAAUGCUGGCCUCAUAAAAUGAGUUUGUGAUUGCUUCCUCCUCUUACAGUUUUUGGAAAGGGCUGAGAAGGAUUGGCAUUAAUCCUUCUUUAAAUGUUAGGUAAAAUUCAGCAGUGAAACUAUCUGGUCUUGAGCUUUUCUUCAUCAGGAGAUUUUUGAUUACUGAUUCAAUCUCUAGUAAUUGGUCUGUUCAGAUUUUUCUUUCUUUCUCUCUCUUUUUGAAAAUCCAGGCUUGGCAGGUUGUAUAUUUCUAAGAAUUUUUCCAUUUCUAGGUUGUACAGUUUUUCGAAAUAAAAUUUUCAUAGUAGACUCUUAAUGAUUCUUUUUAUUUCUGGGUUAUCAGUUGUAGUGUCUCCUUUUUCAUUUAUAAUUUUGUUAUUGGGUCCUCUCUUUACAUAAAAUCUCUUAAAACCAUAACACCCUUAUUGAUGACAAUUUAGCAUCAAUAGCACUCCUAAACUUUAAAGUUUUACUUUUCUUCUCCCUCACAAUUUAGGCUGUUGAUGUUACAGUUGACAUAUUUUUUAUAUUGUGUGACCAACAGCAGAUUAUUGUACUCAUGGUUAUUUUUACCAUGUUUGCUUUUUAACUAUGAAACUAAAAUUUUAAGUAAAGUAUGCACCACCAUUACUAUAUUACAGGAUCUGACUUUGGUUUUGCAUGACUAUGUGUGUGUUUGUGUGUGUAUAGUUAUACCAUUACCAGUGAGUUUUAUGCUACCUUUUUAUGUUUUUUGUUUGUUUUUUAUAAUGGCCACACUUAUAGCAUAUGGAAGUUUUUGGCCAGGGAUUGAUUCUGAGCUGCAGCUGUGCCCUAUACCACAGCUGUAGCAAUCCUAGAUCCUUUAACUGACUGCACUGGGCCUGGUAUUGAAACCGCAUCUCUGCAGUGACCUGAGCUGCUAUAGUCUGAUUCUUUUGUUUUGUUUUGUUUUUGUUUUUUUGCUUUUUAGGUCUGCAUGCACAGCAUGUGGAAGUUCACAGGCUAGGGGUUGAAUGGGAGCUGCAGCUGCCACCCUGCACCACAAACAUAGCUACAUAGGAUCUGAGCCACAUCUGCAACCUGCACCACAGCUCACACAAUGUUGGAUCCCCAACCCACUGAGCAAGGCCAGGGAUGGAACUGGUAUCCUCACGGAUACUAGUAGAUUUGUUUCUGUUGCAUCACAACAGGAACUCCCUGUAGUCAGAUCCUUAAUCUGCUGCACCACCAGAGGACUCCUAUUUUUAAUUUUUUGGUUUGAUUUUAAAAGGGACUGUUUGUUUACAUCCCCUUCCUGAUAUUUUGCUGUUAGUAUAAAGAAAUGCAAAUGAUUUCUGUAUGUUAAUCUUGUAUUCUGCUAUCUUGCUGAAUUCAUUUAUCAGUUCUAGUAGUUUUUGUGUGGGGUCUUCAGGGUUUAGAUAUAGUAGCAUGUCAUCUGCAUAUAGAGGCAGUUUUACCUCUUUCCUACCAAUGUGAAUAUAUUUUUAUUUCUUUUUCUUGUCCAAUUACUGUGGCAAGGACUUCCAGUACUAUUUUGAAGAGAAGUGGUCAGAGUGGGCAUCCUUGUCAUGUUCUGGAUUUUAGCAAGAAGACUUUUGGUUUUUUACUACUGGGUAUUAUAUUGGCCAUGGGUUUGUCAUAAAUAGCUUUUAUAUUGUGAUAUAUUCUCUCUUUUGUAAGGGCUUUAUCAUGAAUGGAUAUUGAAAUUAUCAAAUGCAUUUUCUGCAUCUAUUGCGAAGGUGAUGUGAUUUUUUUGUUUUUUUUUUUGUUUGUUUUUUGUUUUUGGUCUUUUUGCCAUUUCUUGGGCUGCUCCCACGGCAUAUGGAGGUUCCCAGGCUAGGGGUUGAAUGGGAGCUGUAGCCACCGGCCUACACCAGAGCCAUAGCAACGUGGGUUCCGAGCUGCGUCUGCAGCCUACACCACAGCUCAUGGCAACACCGGAUCCUUAACCCACUGAGCAAGGCCAGGGAUCGAACCCGCAACCUCAUGGUUCCUAGUUGGAUUCGUUAACCACUGAGCUACGACGGGCACUCCACCCCCUCUCUGAUCUUUAUUAUCUCCUUCCUACUGCUGACUUUAGGUUUUGCUUUUAGUACUUUUUCUAAUUCUUGUAGGUGGUGGGUUAGGCUACUUACUUGAGACUUUUUUUGUUUCUUAAAGAAGGCCUGCAUUGUCAUGAACUUCCUUCUAAGAACUGCUUUUGCUGCAUCCCACAGAUUUUGUGUGGUUGUGUUCUCACACUUAAUCUUUGACAAAGAAGGCAAAAAUGAACAGUGGCAAAGAGAUAGUCUCUUCAGUAAGUGGUGUUGGGAAAGUGGGAUAGCCACAUAUACAUCAGUGACGUUUACAUAAAUAUCACACCACAUAUAAAAAUAUAUUCAAAAUGGCUUGAAGGCUUAAAUGUAAGAUAAGAUACCAUAAAACUCAGAGGAGAACAUAGGCAAAAUAUUCUGUGACAUAAAUCGUAUUAGUGUUUUCUUAAGCCAGUCUCCCAAAGCAAUUUAAGUAAAAGCAAAAGUAAGCAAAUGGGCUAUAAUCAAACUUAUAAACUUUUGCACAGCAAAGGAGACCAUAAACAAAACAAAAAGACAACCUAUGGACUGGGAGAAAAUAUUUGCAAAUGAUGCAACCAACAAGGCCUAAAUUUCCAAAAUAUGCAAACAGCUCAUGCAAUUCAAUAACAAAACAACCUAAUUGAAAAAUAGGCAGGUCUAAAAAGACGUUUCUCCAAAGAUGACCAAAAGAUGGACAAUAGGUUGUCUUACAUUGUUGGUGGGAAACAGUAUAGAGGUUCCUUAAAAAAGUAGAAAGAGAGUUAUGAUAUGAUCCAGCAAUCCCAUUCAUGUAUAUCUACCUGGAAAAAACUAUCAUUGGAAAAGAUGCAUGCUCCCCUGUGUUCAUAGCAGCACUGUUUAUGAAAUCCAAGACAUGGGAACAACCUAAAUGUCCAUGGACGGAUGAAUGGAUAAAAUAGAUGUAUUAUAUACAGUAGAAUACUACUUAGUCAUUAAAAAGAAAAUAUUGCUGUUUGCAGCAACAUGGGUGGAUCUAGGGGUUAUAAUAUUUGAAGUAAGAAAGAGAAAGGCAAAUAAUAUAUUUUAUGUGGAACCUAAAGUAUGACACAACUCUACAUAUCUAUGAAACAAAAACAGACUUAACAGAUACAGAGAACAGACUUGUGGUUGCCAAGGGGAAGAAGUAGGGUGGUAGGGGAGAGGAAGUUUGGGAGUUUGGGAUUAGCAGAGGCAAACUAUUAUAUAUAAGAUGAAUUUUUAAAAACC
rnacentral:lncRNA from 1 species